UAACAGUCUCCAGUCACGGCCAUU
rnacentral:piRNA from 3 species